GAGUAAUGUCUGGGAAACUGCCUGAUGGAGGGGGAUAACUACUGGAAACGGUGGCUAAUACCGCAUAACGUCGCAAGACCAAAGAGGGGGACCUUCGGGCCUCUUGCCAUCAGAUGUGCCCAGAUGGGAUUAGCUUGUUGGUGAGGUAACGGCUCACCAAGGCGACGAUCCCUAGCUGGUCUGAGAGGAUGACCAGCCACACUGGAACUGAGACACGGUCCAGACUCCUACGGGAGGCAGCAGUGGGGAAUAUUGCACAAUGGGCGCAAGCCUGAUGCAGCCAUGCCGCGUGUAUGAAGAAGGCCUUCGGGUUGUAAAGUACUUUCAGCGGGGAGGAAGGUGUUGUGGUUAAUAACCGCAGCAAUUGACGUUACCCGC
rnacentral:rRNA from 1 species